ensembl:lincRNA
CUGGAUUCCUGGGGCCACCUACCUCCACUUUCCUCCAGGAGCCCUCAGAGGUCUAAGACCAUCAAGUCAAGGAGACAAGGACCUUAGAAGCCCCAGGAAUUCACCACCACGCACCCACUCACACACUGUCAGUGUCUGCGAUCAGACUUUGAUUACAUUAAUGUAGCACUUGGUUGCAUGCAUAGCUCCAGAAAUUUCUAAAGGACCAUCCAAACCGGAAGGCGGGAGUGUGUACACACACACACACACACACACACACACACACACGACUAUAAUGUAUAAUGAUGAGCGUCCUUGUAAAGACACCUGACACAGAUUUACCCUAAAUCUGUAAUUCCCUCAAACGCCACUUCCACCAUAAGGCCCUUUAAUAUUUAACCCAAGUACAGGUAAUUUCUAACUUCUCUGCAAUUGCAUACAUCACAAGUAUUUCUGUCUGGUCCGGUGGCCACAACUAGUUACAACAGCAGUCUUUACUCUGCAGUCUGGUCCAGUAGCAACGGGAGCUGUGGUUCUAAGGAAGGAACCAGCCAUUUCCCUUUUCUGUACACCAGUUGAUUGGGAAGACCUCACUGGAAUGGUCUUCCGGACCUCUACCAGUUUCUGCUCCAACUGUGAGCAAGGCUCACAUUCUCACCUCCUGGGUUCUUUCUGCAUCUAAAUUGUGACAGUUAAAACCAAAACUGGUUUUACCCAGGUUCCUGAAAGGACCUCUUAGAGGUGCCACUAGCCACUUAGACAUUGCUCAGCCUAGUCUCUAAAAAAUGCUGACAUUAGUGGUUUUGUAACACGUCAGCAUGAUUAGACUGAGUUGCAAGCUAAGUUGUCCUACAAAAAAAUGGAAACAUUUCCUUCCUGCGUUUAUUUCAUUGAUUUAUACAAUUGUGCCUAUGUGUAAAAAAGAAAGCUUAAAAUUUCACCUAAACUUCAAAUAUUGGAUAUUUGAGAAAGAAAUUCCUGCUGAAACAAGGUUCUGGGCUGUCUAACAGUCUGGAUUCUUAAAACUAGCAUCAGAUUCCGGGUAUGUGAUUUGGGAACACAUUACUUUAUGGCAUUAAAAAGAAAUGGCUUGAUUUUGAACAUAUAAAAUCUCGUCUUUCGUUUUCUAUAAUGUACUGAAAUGUCUGUGGAUCAAAACCGAAUAUACAAUACAUGUUAUGAGAACAAAGUUGGCUUACUGGUUAAUUUUAAAAUACAAAUUUCUGAAGAUGUGUAUUCAACAAUACUUGCCCAUUUCAAAUGUAGACAUUUGGAACCUAACUCGCUGAAUUUCCUCUGUGGACAUCUGUCACUAUCAUGUAGCAAGUGUGGGGGUUUGAAUAGGUAAGGCCCCAUAGACUUAAGAGAGAAAACUGGCUGAACUUGGAGGGUUGGGGUGACUGGUAUGUAGCCGAUAUUAGCCAUCAUUCUGAUUUUGUAUCUGAGAGUAGCGAGGUGUCCAGGAGCCAGUCCAAUGUGGAGCCCAGGAGACAACUAGAGCAUGGAACUUGCAGGACUCGCAAUAUAUUGAAUAGCUUUUAGUCUAUAGAAAUUUAGUUUAUAGUCACUUCACAAUAAACAAAAUACCAGGUUGCUAACAUGAGAGACAACCUUUGAGCUUUUCAGAUUUUUAAUUAAAUGGCUUUCCUUUUCCUGAAAUAUGUGUGAAGCAGAUGCUGUUGAUUUUCCAACUAAACAGGAGUGAAAGCAGUCCAUGUAAAUGGUCAACUCUAGGUUGGAGACCUGAGUGGGCAGGGGUUCCCACCACCCCAGACGAGGCCCAGAUGAUUCCAGUAUAAGCUGCAGAUGCCAGAUACAGAGCUGCAGAAUUUGGUGUUCGCCUCCUCGGUUUAGGUCUUGCUAUGGUCUCAUCAUUCUUAACUAUGCCCUUAUUGCGCUCUGUUGGAUUUUGUGUCAUUGUACAUUAGAAAUAUGUAACUUUUUCUGCUGGGUCUCAUCAUAAGAGAUUGAUUGAGCCCCAGUAGAAACUUUAUGCUUAUACUUUUGAAUACUCCUGGAACAUUUAUACUUUGGGUACUUCAUGAAAUGUAAUAAAUACAUUUUGUGUUAUAAAAUUAA